AAAUUGAAGAGUUUGAUCAUGGCUCAGAUUGAACGCUGGCGGCAGGCCUAACACAUGCAAGUCGAACGGUAACAGGAAUCAGCUUGCUGAUUCGCUGACGAGUGGCGGACGGGUGAGUAAUGUCUGGGAAACUGCCUGAUGGAGGGGGAUAACUACUGGAAACGGUAGCUAAUACCGCAUAAUGUCGCAAGACCAAAGAGGGGGACCUUCGGGCCUCUUGCCAUCGGAUGUGCCCAGAUGGGAUUAGCUAGUAGGUGGGGUAACGGCUCACCUAGGCGACGAUCCCUAGCUGGUCUGAGAGGAUGACCAGCCACACUGGA
rnacentral:rRNA from 1 species